GCCUAACGGCUGAACUGGCAACUUGGAGAAGUGGCAAGUUUUAUAAUUAAUAGUAAUUUAUAUUUCUAUUUUUAUAAAAUUCUAUUAGAAUUGAAUGAAGCUUUGUUUAUAUAUUGAUAAUGACAGUAUAUAUAUCGUGUCUUGACCAAUUACGUGCCAGCAGUCGCGGUAAUACGUAAGAGACUAGUGUUAUUCAUCUUAAUUAGGUUUAAAGGGUACCCAGACGGUCAAUAUAGCUUCUAUAAUGUUAGUACUUGACUAGAGUUUUAUGUAAGAGGGCAGUACUUGAGGAGGAGAGAUGAAAUUCCGUGAUACCAAAGGGACUCGGUAAAUGCGAAGGCAGCCCUCUAGGUAAAAACUGACGUUGAAGGACGAAGGCACAGAGAACAAACAGGAUUAGAUACCCUAAUAGUCUUUGCAGUAAAUGAUGAAUGCCAUAGGUUAGAUAAUCUAAUUAUUUGGUCUAUAAAUGAAAGUGUAAGCAUUUCACCUCAAGAGUAAUGUGGCAACGCAGGAACUGAAAUCACUAGACCGUUUCUGACACCAGUAGUGAAGU
rnacentral:rRNA from 1 species